UUUUUUUCUUGUUCGGUUAUUUUGACCUUACAUGUUCAAUUUACUUGGAAUUCGCUUUGGAUUCUCACUCUAAUGAAUAACCCAGUUGGAAUGAAAAUUACGUGGUAAUUAGCUGAUCACACUUUGAAAAUGACAUUUUUCGCCUUUAGGAAAGAGAAAUGUGCAGCUCCUGUGAAAUUAUGUGAGAGUUAACUGUGUGAAGUCUUCGUUCAGUUUAAAGACAGAGUAGUAAUACAUUUUAGUAUUUUUUAUUUUAUAUGUGUCAAUAGAAG